rnacentral:rRNA from 1 species
GACGAACGCUGGCGGCGUGCUUAACACAUGCAAGUCGAACGGAAAGGCCCUGCUUUUGUGGGGUGCUCGAGUGGCGAACGGGUGAGUAACACGUGAGUAACCUGCCCUUGACUUUGGGAUAACUACAGGAAACUGGGGCUAAUACCGGAUAGGAGCUCCUGCUGCAUGGUGGGGGUUGGAAAGUUUCGGCGGUUGGGGAUGGACUCGCGGCUUAUCAGCUUGUUGGUGGGGUAGUGGCUUACCAAGGCUUUGACGGGUAGCCGGCCUGAGAGGGUGACCGGCCACAUUGGGACUGAGAUACGGCCCAGACUCCUACGGGAGGCAGCAGUGGGGAAUAUUGCUCAAUGGGCGGAAGCCUGAUGCAGCAACGCCGCGUGCGGGAUGACGGCCUUCCGGUUGUAAACCGCUUUCGCCUGUGACGAAGCGUGAGUGACGGUAAUGGGUAAAGAAGCACCGGCUAACUACGUG